GACGAACCGUGCGAACGUUAUUCGGAAUCACUGGGACGUUAAAGCGCGUGUAGGCGGGAGGGCACGUCCGUCCGGCUGAAACUCCCCCGGCUCAACCGGGGAACGGGCGCGGAUACGACCUUCCUUGAGGGGCGUAGGGGGACCUGGAACUUCCGGUGGAGCGGUGAAAUGCGUUGAGAUCGGAAGGAACGCCCGUGGCGAAAGCGAGGUCCUGGACGCCUACUGACGCUGAGACGGCGGAAAGCCAGGGGAGCGAACGGG
rnacentral:rRNA from 1 species